rnacentral:rRNA from 1 species
UACAGAGGGUGCGAGCGUUAAUCGGAAUUACUGGGCGUAAAGCGUGCGCAGGCGGUUCGUCGUGUCCGAUGUGAAAGCCCCGGGCUCAACCUGGGAAUGGCAUUGGAAACUGGCGGACUCGAGUGUGGCAGAGGGGGGUGGAAUUCCGCGUGUAGCAGUGAAAUGCGUAGAGAUGCGGAGGAACACCGAUGGCGAAGGCAGCCCCCUGGGCUAACACUGACGCUCAUGCACGAAAGCGUGGGGAGCAAACAGG